rnacentral:snRNA from 1 species
AGCCGCGCAGUGAGCACAGAGCGAACUAUUCUUUCGCCUUUUACUAAAGAAUACCGUGUGCUUGCUGCAUCCAGUGGCAUACACCUAUUUUUGGAGGCUUUUCUCUCUUUUGAGAAAG